ensembl:lncRNA uncharacterized LOC115163018
CCGUGUUCGAGAACAUCAAAACCGUAAUGUAUCAUGGGUAAAUGGUGAAUGAGUGAUUGAUCUACAAAUAACAAUGAGUCGUUAUUUAUGACGGACGGUGAUUUGUAGAUCAAUCAUUCGGCAGUCUCCUCCACUGUCGGCUGCAAUGUCGAACAAGCCUAUUGAUGUCAACAAACUCCAUAUGAUCGUGCGACGCAAGCAAGCUUCCUCGACGCAGCGUAAAAUAUUUUGUGAUGAAGGAGGAGCCCAGGGGGCUGCUACCAGAGCAGGUACACCCAGUGAGAGGAGGGAGAGACCAUGGACCUGAGUGAGAGGAGGCCCAACAAGUGGUGGACAGAGUCGGACACCUUCGCCAUGCUGGCCCUCAUCGAGCAGCUGGACCUGGUGCAUGAGCUGGAUAAGAAGCGUCAGCGCAAUGACUCACACUUCCGCCGCCUGCGCUACAGCCUGGCCAAACGGGACAUCCACUUCACUGUCAACCAGAUACGCAACCGCUGGAAGAGCCUCAAGCACAAGUACCGCAAGAUCAAGAUGGCAGGAUACCGUAGCGCCUCUGCACGCCUGGCCACCAUCGAGUCGUUCCGUUACUUUCGUAUGCUGGACCGCAUGCUGGCCAGGAGGGCCCGGGUGGGGGCCCCAGUGCAAGGCAUUGCAGAUGGACACAAUAUGGUGGUGUUGACCCCUUCAGACCUGGAGGAUCAUACUGACGGUGAUGUUGCUCAGCCCGAAUCUGUGGCCCCUUGGCAGGACAGCCUGGCUCCAGCUCUAGAGGGAGAAGGGGACGAGACUAAUGCCAUCCCAAUAGAGGCCAACGUCAGCACUCCGGGCUGGGCCUUGAAGUCAGACGAGAUAAUGACUUUGGGUCUGUCUGGAGAGUAUCUUUACCCAGUGAAGAGUGAGCCACAUUCAGUACCCUCUUUACAUGAUGGUGAGGGAGCUAGGGACCCCACUGGCUGCAGUCCAGAAGAACAAACUGGCACUUGUGAGGACACCAGCACCCUGAUCCUCCAGCAGCUCAACAUCCUGAACCAUCAGCUAGGGGAACAGCUCGCUGAGCAAAGGGCCUUCCACUGCAGCAUGCUGGGUAUGAUGGACCGACAGAUAGAGGUCCUGGAGCAGCUCUCCAACUUCUCCACAGGCCGCCAGGUCAAGACCGAACCCGAUGACAGUAACACUCCUAUCAGCCAGCAGGUCCACAACUCCCUGGUGCGCAUCUUGAGAGGAGUGGAACAGGUCCAAACCCAAGGACACCAGCCGUGCUCAUGCAAGGCCUACCCCUCACAGCCUACAUCUCCCUCCUGGACAGUCUCUCUGUUGGAGGUCCACAAAGAAUCACCCUCCAGGGAUGGGAACUCAACUAGUGACACAUCCGACCCUCAGCCCUCAGACCAUGGGCGUCCUGAACCUCAAGGACCAUCCCCCUCAGAGCAGCUUCCCACUUCCCCACAGAAAGGUGUUUUGCUUAACGGACUCUCAAACAAGUGCCAGCACAACUGA